AUACGGAGGGGGCAAACGUUGUUCGGAAUUACUGGGCGUAAAGGGCGCGUAGGCGGAUUAUCAAGUCAGAGGAGAAAGCCCUGGGCUCAACCUAGGAACUGCCUUUGAAACUGAUAGUCUUGAGUCCGAGAGAGGAUGGCGGAAUUCCCAGUGUAGAGGUGAAAUUCGUAGAUAUUGGGAAGAACACCAGUGGCGAAGGCGGCCAUCUGGCUCGGUACUGACGCUGAGGCGCGAAAGCGUGGGGAGCAAACAGGAUUAGAAACCCCGGUAGUCC
rnacentral:rRNA from 1 species